rnacentral:rRNA from 1 species
GACAGAGGGUGCAAACGUUGCUCGGAAUUACUGGGCGUAAAGCGCGUGUAGGCGGACUGAUAAGUCAGGUGUGAAAUCCCCGGGCUCAACCCGGGAACUGCACUUGAAACUGCCAGUCUUGAGUGAUGGAGAGGAUGGCGGAAUUCCUGGUGUAGAGGUGAAAUUCGUAGAUAUCAGGAGGAACACCGGUGGCGAAGGCGGCCAUCUGGAAAUCUACUGACGCUGAGACGCGAAAGCGUGGGGAGCAAACAGG